UACAGAGGGUGCAAGCGUUGUUCGGAAUUAUUGGGCGUAAAGGGCGCGUAGGCGGCUUUUCAAGUCAGGGGUGAAAUCCGGCAGCUCAACUGUCGAAGUGCCCUUGAUACUGAUGAGCUCGAGGGAGGUAGGGGUGUGUGGAACUUCCGGUGGAGCGGUGAAAUGCGUUGAUAUCGGAAGGAACGCCGGUGGCGAAAGCGACGCACUGGACCUCUUCUGACGCUGAGGCGCGAAAGCUAGGGGAGCAAACGGG
rnacentral:rRNA from 1 species